rnacentral:rRNA from 1 species
UACAAUGACUCUCGGCAACGGAUAUCUCGGCUCUUGCAUCGAUUAAGAACGUAGCGAAAUGCGAUACUUGGUGUGAAUUGCAGAAUCCCGUGAACCAUCGAGUCUUUGAACGCAAGUUGCGCCCGAAGCCAUUAGGCCGAGGGCACGUCUGCCUGGGUGUCACA